rnacentral:rRNA from 1 species
GUUUGAUCCUGGCUCAGGACGAACGCUGGCGGCGCGCCUAACACAUGCAAGUCGAACGAGCGAGAGAGAGCUUGCUUUCUCGAGCGAGUGGCGAACGGGUGAGUAACGCGUGAGGAACCUGCCUCAAAGAGGGGGACAACAGUUGGAAACGACUGCUAAUACCGCAUAAGCCCACGGCUCGGCAUCGAGCAGAGGGAAAAGGAGCAAUCCGCUUUGAGAUGGCCUCGCGUCCGAUUAGCUAGUUGGUGAGGUAACGGCCCACCAAGGCGACGAUCGGUAGCCGGACUGAGAGGUUGAACGGCCACAUUGGGACUGAGACACGGCCCAGACUCCUACGGGAGGCAGCAGUGGGGAAUAUUGCACAAUGGGGGAAACCCUGAUGCAGCGACGCCGCGUGGAGGAAGAAGGUCUUCGGAUUGUAAACUCCUGUUGUUGGGGAAGAUAAUGACGGUACCCAACAAGGAAGUGACGGCUAACUACGUGCCAGCAGCCGCGGUAAAACGUAGGUCACAAGCGUUGUCCGGAAUUACUGGGUGUAAAGGGAGCGCAGGCGGGAAGACAAGUUGGAAGUGAAAUCUAUGGGCUCAACCCAUAAACUGCUUUCAAAACUGUUUUUCUUGAGUAGUGCAGAGGUAGGCGGAAUUCCCGGUGUAGCGGUGGAAUGCGUAGAUAUCGGGAGGAACACCAGUGGCGAAGGCGGCCUACUGGGCACCAACUGACGCUGAGGCCCGAAAGUGUGGGUAGCAAACAGGAUUAGAUACCCUGGUAGUCCACACCGUAAACGAUGAUUACUAGGUGUUGGAGGAUUGACCCCUUCAGUGCCGCAGUUAACACAAUAAGUAAUCCACCUGGGGAGUACGACCGCAAGGUUGAAACUCAAAGGAAUUGACGGGGGCCCGCACAAGCAGUGGAGUAUGUGGUUUAAUUCGACGCAACGCGAAGAACCUUACCAAGUCUUGACAUCCCUUGACGAUGCUGGAAACAGUGUUUCUCUUCGGAGCAAGGAGACAGGUGGUGCAUGGUUGUCGUCAGCUCGUGUCGUGAGAUGUUGGGUUAAGUCCCGCAACGAGCGCAACCCUUAUGGUCAGUUACUACGCAAGAGGACUCUGGCCAGACUGCCGUUGACAAAACGGAGGAAGGUGGGGAUGACGUCAAAUCAUCAUGCCCUUUAUGACUUGGGCUACACACGUACUACAAUGGCGUUAAACAAAGAGAAGCAAGACCGCGAGGUGGAGC